CUACGGGUUGCACCAGUGAGGAAUAUUGCGCAAUGGGGGCAACCCUGACGCAGCGACGCCGCGUGGAUGAUGAAGGCCUUCGGGUCGUAAAAUCCUGUCAGAUGGAAAGAAGUGCGAGGUGGUUAAUACCCAUUUCGUUUGACGGUACCAUCAGGGGAAGCACCGGCUAACUCCGUGCCAGCAGCCGCGGUAAUACGGGGGUGCAAGCGUUGUUCGGAAUUACUGGGCGUAAAGCGCGCGUAGGCGGUUUGUUAAGUCAGAUGUGAAAGCCCACGGCUCAACCGUGGACGUGCAUUUGAAACCGGCAGACUUGAGUAUUGGAGGGGGUGGUGGAAUUCCCGGUGUAGAGGUGAAAUUCGUAGAUAUCGGGAGGAAUACCGGUGGCGAAGGCGACCACCUGGCCAAAUACUGACGCUGAGGUGCGAAAGCGUGGGGAGCAAACAGGAUUAGAUACCCCAGUAGUC
rnacentral:rRNA from 1 species